rnacentral:rRNA from 1 species
GCGUGCAGGAAGAAGGCCCUCGGGUUGUAAACUGCUUUUGUACGGAACGAAACGGCGCGCUCUAAUAAAGUGCGCUAAUGACGGUACCGUAAGAAUAAGCACCGGCUAACUACGUGCCAGCAGCCGCGGUAAUACGUAGGGUGCAAGCGUUAAUCGGAAUUACUGGGCGUAAAGCGUGCGCAGGCGGUUUUGUAAGACAGGCGUGAAAUCCCCGGGCUUAACCUGGGAAUUGCGCUUGUGACUGCAAGGCUAGAGUACGGUAGAGGGGGGUAGAAUUCCGCGUGUAGCAGUGAAAUGCGU